CGCCCACAAAAAUCGAGAAAAAUUGAAUAUUUUGGGCAACUUUAGAGCAAAAUACCAUUCUUGGUAGACAUUGUAUAAAUCCUAGACCGGAUGUGCCCUGCAAAUUUUGUGUCAAUCGGAUCGAAAACAUGGAAGUUAUUCACGAAAGAAUUCUUAUGCAUGAUAAGAGGUGCAUCUAACUGAAUAACGUGAAAUCAAGAAAUAAGCUGGAGUCUUCGAAACCCCUCUUCUUUGAAACAAAUAUUGCCAUUUUCAUAUUCACACAAAAGCAACUGGAUUACGUCAGUAGGAAGCGAGAGACUCUUAUGUAUUUUUAUGCACCUCGACAAAUUUAUCGAGGAAAUUAUUGGAUCUGAUGAAUCCAUUGCACGAUUGAAUACAUCCGCGAAGGAAUGAAGUCUGCUGUGCUUUCUUGAAUGGUGAAGCCUGUCGGACUUAUAAAUUUUGUUGCGAGACUCGGACGCUUCUUCACCAAAACAGCCGACUGGAAGCACCGUAUUUUCCAUGAUUUGCGUAGAGUGCACAAUAAUUUUAUGCACUGUUGGUGUCAUCGGCAGCCACGGAUAAGUAUCAAGCAUUAAUUCUGCAGUUUGAUGGGCACAAACACAAAAUGUUCCAGCGCUCGAGACUCCUGU